GUCUGCAUCAGAAAUUAGUUACAGAUAAUCUAGUUUCAUAAAAAAUUUUGAUUUAGCAAUUACUGAUUACUUAAUACAGUGUGUCUCCCUAUCUAAUGAAAACAGCUUAUGUUUCAAAUAUUAUGGUUGACAUUACUGAGUCUGAAGUAUUUUGGGAGUGUAUGUCUUAAAACAAAGUUGACUUAUUUUAACCCUUUUUUCUUUCUUUAUUCAUUUUCCUGCUCAGCUCUUCUGGAAAAUUUUCCUCUCUUAAACAAUGUUUCUCCCAUAAAUACUCUUAUCAGUACAGUAAACUUAUGUUUAUGGUAUCCUAUCCUGGUAUCAAUAAAUUAAUUAUCAAUAAUAUAUCUAAUUCAUUUAAGAUAUUUUGUUACUUGUACUAAUGAUGGCAAAAAAAAAAAGUGGUUUCUGUCUUUCAUGGACUUACAGUAUAUUUAAGAGAGAUGAUAUAUUUGAGAAUAUGAACUACAUGAGCAUUUAAUUAACACAGAUAAAUUUCAGAUGCCACAAAACAAUGCAAAAUUUGUCAUUAAAUGAAGAUAAAAAGUAACAACUUGCUUU
rnacentral:lncRNA from 1 species